GACGAACGCUGGCGGCGUGCCUAAUACAUGCAAGUCGAACGAGAGCGACCGGUGCUUGCACUGGUCAAUCUAGUGGCGAACGGGUGAGUAACACGUGGGUAACCUGCCCAUCAGAGGGGGAUAACAUCCGGAAACGGAUGCUAAAACCGCAUAGGUCUUCGAACCGCAUGGUUUGAAGAGGAAAAGAGGCGCAAGCUUCUGCUGAUGGAUGGACCCGCGGUGCAUUAGCUAGUUGGUGAGGUAACGGCUCACCAAGGCCGUGAUGCAUAGCCGACCUGAGAGGGUGAUCGGCCACAUUGGGACUGAGACACGGCCCAAACUCCUACGGGAGGCAGCAGUAGGGAAUCUUCCGCAAUGGACGCAAGUCUGACGGAGCAACGCCGCGUGAGUGAAGAAGGUUUUCGGAUCGUAAAACCCUGUUGUUAGAGAAGAACAAGUGCUAGAGUAACUGUUAGCGACUUGACGGUAUCUAACCAGAAAGCCACGGCUAACUACGUG
rnacentral:rRNA from 1 species